rnacentral:misc_RNA from 1 species
GAACGCAUCUUGCGCUCUUUGGUACUCCGAAGAGCAUGCCUGUUUGAGUGUCAUGAAAUUCUCAACCUUUCUAGCUAUUUUCUGAAUGCUAGUCUGGCUUGGAUUUAUGGGAGUUGCAGGCUUCUUUAAAAGUCAGCUCUUCUUAAAUAUAUUAGCAGAACUCUUGCUGACAAUCCUUUGGUGUUGAUAAUUAUCUAUACCAUUUGGAGUUGGCUUUGUUUAGCUUUCUAAUAGUCUGUUCAGACAAUUUUUUGACAAUUUGACCUCAAAUCAGGUAGGAUUACCCGCUGAACUUAAG